GCCCUAUGUUUCUGUCUCUGUGGAGGUUCUUUCUGUUCUUUCCGAUUCCUUUUCCCCGUUUUCUGUCUCUGUGGAGGUUCUUUCCGUUCUUUCCUUUUCGUUGUUGUUUUGAACUGUCACCUAGUUUUCUGCCCUAUGUUUCUGUCUCUGUGGAGGUUCUUUCCGUUCUUUCCGUUCUUUCCGUUCUUUUGUUGUUUUUGAACUGUCACCUAAUUUUCUGCCUAUGUUUCUGUCUCUGUGGAGGUUCUUUCCGUUCUUUCCGUUCUUUCCGUUGUUGUUUUUGAACUGUCACCUAUUUUCUGCCCUAUGUUUCUGUCUCUGUGGAGGUUCUUUCCGUUCUUGUCUGUCCGUUUUCGGUCUUUGUUGUUUUUGAACUGUCACCUAAUUUUCUGCCCUAUGUUUCUGUCUCUGUGGAGGUUCUUUCCGUUCUUUCCGUUCUUUUUGUUGUUUUUGAACUGUCACCUAAUUUUCUGCCCUAUGUUUCUGUCUCUGUGGAGGUUCUUUCGUUCUUUCCGUUCUUUUUGUUGUUUGACUUUCACCUAAUUUUCUGCCUAUGUUUCUGUCUCUGUGGAUUCUUUCCGUUUUUCCGUUUUUCUUUUGUUGUUUUUGAACUGUCACCUAAUUUUCUGCCCUAUGUUUCUGUCUCUGUGGAGGUUCUUUCCGUUCUUUCCGUUCUUUCCGUUCUUUCCGUUCUUUCCGUUCUUUCCGUUCUUUUUGUUGUUUUUGAACUGUCACCUAAUUUUCUGCCCUAUGUUUCUGUCUCUGUGGAGGUUCUUUCCGUUCUUUCCGUUCUUUCUGUUGUUGUUUUUGAACUUCACCUAAUUUUUGCCCUAUGUUUCUGUCUCUGUGGAGGUUCUUUCCGUUCUUUCCGUUCUUUGUUGUUGUUUUUGAACUGUCACCUAAUUUUCUGCCCUAUGUUUCUGUCUCUGUGGAGGUUCUUUCCGUUCUUUCCGUUCUUUUUGUUAUUUUUGAACUGUCACCAAAUUUUCUGCCCUAUGUUUCUGUCUCUGUGGAGGUUCUUUCCGUUCUUUCCGUUCUUUCCGUUCUUCGUUCUUCCGUUGUUGUUUUUGAACUGUCACCUAAUUUUCUGUUCUAUGUUUCUGUCUCUGUGGAGGUUCUUUCCGUUCUUUCCGUUCUUCGUUCUUUCGUUUUUUUUGUUUUUUGAACUGUCACCAAUUUUCUGCCUAUGUUUCUGUCUGCGUGGAGGUUCUUUCCGUUCUUUCCGUUCUUUCUGUUUGUUUUUUGAACUUUCACCAAUUUCUGCCCUAUGUUUCUGUCUCUGUGGAGGUUUUUCCGUUCUUUCCGUUCUUUCCGUUCUUUCGUUUUUGUUGUUUUGAACUGUCACCUAAUUUUCUGCCCUAUGUUUCUGUCUCUGUGGAGGUUCUUUCCGUUCUUUCCGUUCUUUCUGUUGUUGUUUUUGAACUUCACCUAUUUUUGCCUAUGUUUCUGUUCUGUGGAGGUUCUUUCCGUUCUUUCCGUUCUUUCUGUUGUUGUUUUUGAACUGUCACCUAAUUUUCUGUUCUAUGUUUCUGUCUCUGUGGAGGUUCUUUCCGUUCUUUCCGUUCUUUCCGUUCUUUCUGUUGUUGUUUUUGAACUGUCACCUAAUUUUCUGUUCUAUGUUUCUGUCUCUGUGGAGGUUCUUUCCGUUCUUUCCGUUCUGUCCGUUCUUUCGUUCUUUUUGUUGUUUUGAACUGUGAUCUAAUUUUCUGCCCUAUGUUUCUGUGUUUGUGGAGGUUCUUUCCGUUCUUUCCGUUCUUUUUGUUGUUUUUGAACUGUCACCAAAUUUUCUGCCCUAUGUUUCUGUCUCUGUGGAGGUUCUUUCCGUUCUUUCCGUUCCUUUUUCCUUGUUUUUU
rnacentral:lncRNA from 7 species